CCUUUGUACACACCGCCCGUCGCUACUACCGAUUGAAUGGCUCAGUGAGGCGUCCGGACUGGCCCAGAGAGGCGGGCAACUGCCACUCAGGGCCGGAAAGCUCUCCAAACUCGGUCAUUUAGAGGAAGUAAAAGUCGUAACAAGGUCUCCGUUGGUGAACCAGCGGAGGGAUCAUUA
rnacentral:rRNA from 1 species